ensembl:snRNA U6 U6 spliceosomal RNA
GUACUUCCUUCGGCAGCAUAUAUACUAAAAUUGGAAUGACACAGAGAAGAAUAACAUGGCCCCUAUGCAAGGAUGACAUAUAAAUUUGUGAAGCAUUCCAUAUUUUU